rnacentral:misc_RNA from 1 species
CAGAGUUGCAAAACUCCCCAAACCAUUGUGAACCUUACCUUCAACCGUUGCUUCGGCGGGCGGGCCACAGCGCCCCCCGGGCCCCCCCAGCGGGGGCGCCCGCCGGAGGAUACCCAAACUCUUGAUACUUUAUGGCCUCUCUGAGUCUUCUGUACUGAAUAAGUCA